GCUUUCAACAUCCCCGUCCAGCGCCCAUCAGGAUUUCCGAGGCGGCUGGGCUGAAGGC
rnacentral:sRNA from 1 species